UUUUUUUAUUAUUGAUGUCUGUUGCCUGACACUCUUUCCCUGUUGCACUACUGUGGGAGCUGCAGCAAAGCAGUGCAAUAAUGAAAGGGCAUCAGUCCACUGGACCAGACCAGCAAACACAC
rnacentral:precursor_RNA from 8 species